rnacentral:tRNA from 1 species
GGAGGCCUUGGCUCAGUGGAGGAGCCUCAGCUUGGCAUGCAGAAGGUCCCAGGUUCAACCCCCAGCAUCUCCA